rnacentral:rRNA from 1 species
UACGUAGGUGACCAGCGUUGUCCGGAUUUACUGGGCGUAAAGAGCGCGCAGGCGGUCGUUCAAGUCGAGUGUGAAAGCCCCCGGCUCAACUGGGGAGGGUCAUUCGAUACUGAUCGACUGGAAGGCAGGAGAGGGAAGCGGAAUUCCCGGUGUAGUGGUGAAAUGCGUAGAUAUCGGGAGGAACGCCAGUGGCGAAGGCGGCUUCCUGGCCUGUUCUUGACGCUGAGGCGCGAAAGCUAGGGGAGCAAACGGG